UCACCUGUAAAGGGUUAAGAAGCUAAAGGUAACCUCGCUGGCACCUGACCAAAAUGACCAAUGAGGAGACAAGAUACUUUCAAAAGCUGGGAGGAGGGAGAGGAACAAAGGGUCUGGGUCUGUCUGUAUGCUGCUCUUGCCAGAGACAGAACAGGAAUGGAGUCUUAGAACUUUUACUUUGACCAGAAUGUUGCCAACGGCUGAAGUCGCAGGUCUCUCUGCUGGAGUGGAGGAAUGACACUUUCCAAGAGAUCUGAAAUGUAUAUCAGUAACCUCCCUUAUGACCUUCCACUGGGAUCAUACUUGAAAGUGGGAUAUACAGUAUUUACUUUGUAAUGAGAAUUCACAGUAGCUUGAAUUUGGCUUGAACAUUAGCAGAUGUCUGCACUGGAUCAAGUGAUGCAUGGUGCAAGACUGCAAUCUUCAUCUGCUGGUACGUGGGGACAAGAGGCUCCUUAUGCUUUCUACCCUCACUAAUACGGAGGGCAGGAUUUUGCCCUUAAUAUUUAACAGAUGUCGCUCUAAUCUAAAGGUACCUCACUCAGUGCUGGAGCACCUUUUAACGUGCUCACUCACAUGGAACGGCAGGGAGAUGGAACAGAUGCCUUCAGUUCUUGUGCUCCCGGAGCGAGUUUGCGAGUGAACUGUUAUGAGGAAGCUGCUGAUGCCUUGUGGGAAAUCUUUGAAAAACAUUUUAUUUGGAAACAAUUCUGCAUGUACCCCAUAGCAUAUUUUCUCUAUUUCGUUCCUCUUAGUCUGGAAUUCUUAUGAGAGCAGUUGUUGCUUUUUGGAGGUGAAGAUUUCCAUUACUGUCUGAUUUCAGACAGGAUUUCCAUGCCUAAGCUGAAGCAGCAAUUAAUGCAGACUCUGUUUCCACAUCUCCUACAGGCUGGGGGUGUGUGUGGUUUUUUGCUUGUUUUUUUGCAUUGAUGCAGAACGUCUGGCAUGUUGGCUCCGACAGGAGUCAUACUGAAGGGGAUUGGGGAACACACACAAGCAUAAGUGGAGGUUUGUUCCCUUCCCUUCUUAGUUAGGUAUUUUCUGAACAGUUCCCCAUAGCUCUGCUUUGCACAUAUUGACACGGAUGAAAGUGAGGUGGUGCUCUGAAAUGUGACAGUAAAAGUACAUUUUAUUUAUUUAAAUUUAUUCAACACAGAGAAGAGAAGUACUUCACCCCAAGAUACAAGCACCCCUUACAAAUCUUAACAUUUACAAAAAAUCACACUAGACUGCUUGGAGUUCCAUACUCAUUGCAUCUUACUACCUUCACCUCAGAUGUACCCAGUCUGCAAAUAAAAAAGUUUUUAAUAAGUGCCAGCCCUGAACACCCAACUUGGGAUCCAAGACCGCAGCUGGAUUCUUUUUUUCCUUCCACAUCAUUACAAAUGCCAAAGGUAUCGAAUGACAAACUAUAUCUUCAGUUACACAUGUGCAACUCAUUUUAUUAAAUUAUACCCUGUGUUACAGCCACACAACCUUGUUAGCCUUCAGUUCAGUGGCAGAGGAGUAAUUCUGUGUGUUCUGCAGUAUAUUUAUUACUGGCCGCUAUGUAUGAAAAGGCAAGAAACCAGCUUGACUGUCACAACCCAUGUUAAGUCUCCAGGAGUGGUAGUUUGAAUAAAAAAUAGCUUUAUAUUGGUAAAUUAAUUAAAACUGAUAUGGAAUCAGAGAGACACACUAAGUCUGGAACCUUACAGUGCUAUUUUUACAGUCAGUUUUCAGAGACGAACCUCACUUUAAAGCACACAUAGACUGAAGCAAGGGAAUUAGACACCCAUCCAGCAAACACAUACGAGCUUAUCUUUAAGAAUAUGAGCAGUUUUGUUGAGCAAAGAGCAUCGAUGCACAUGUGCAAAGUUAUUCAUGGGUGCAAGAGAUUGCAGAAUUGAGGCCUUCACGGAUAUAGUAGCUACAAGGAUUAUUAUCUUUUUCAUUAAAUUCACAACAAAAUCAUGCUGAUUUUUUAAAUUAUAAAAUCGAGUUCUUGUUGGAUCCAUUUGACGGAAUUCUGCCUUCAGCUACACCAUGGAACCCCAUUGCCUUGGGAUUGCACGUAAGUAACUGAGGGUAGAAUUCUUCUUUCCCUCCCUCCCUCCCAGCCAGUGAUCAGGCCACACUCCCAAUGACUUCAAGAGGAGCAGGAUUUGGCCCUUUGUAUCUGUGAAAUCCAAGAAAGAGCAGCUUUAAGGUGCAUGCAGUAGAGAUUUGAUGAAGCUGAACCCAAAGGUCCCGUAAUCUUACUUAUGUUACAUAAUGCUACAUUAUAUUUAAAGAUGCACUUCUGGGACUGUGUUGCUGAUACCUAUUAUUAUACAAUGGCUCCCAGGGGAGCUAUUGUUGAAAUAAAAUCAUUUUUAUAAAAUAAAUGAAUAAGCAAAUCAAUACAUAAAAUAGGUUAAAACACACUAAGAUAUACAAUUGGCAUGUAAGUUGUAUAGCUUAUCAGUCAAGCAUUUAAGAUUUACCCCCUUCAUGUUCAGAGUUGCUCGGUAACUUAAGUGUUUCUGUGUGUUUAAUAAUGAAUGUUUAAAACCACCAGGGAUCCUAUCUGCAAAGCACUGUACAGGGUUUAUGCACAUAAUUUCAAGCUACUGCUGUGGAAAUUUACCCCCUGAUGGAAUUAGUGGAAUUUUAGUUCUGCAAGAAUAUGCUGUUCUGAUAAACAGAAGUAUAGCUGUGCCAAGUUAAGAAACCUCUUAAUUUGCAGAAAGGAUCCAAAAAUAUCUUUAUAGACUUGCUUAGUCACUGAUUUCAGUUUUUAGUAACAAAAUGCAUGCACUGAAAAUAUUUACAUUAUUCAAACAGUGCUGCCCAAGAAUGGAUUUGGCAAUUUUGGAGCAUUAAUCUGCAACACCCUGCAGCUUUUCCCUUUAAUUUUUUAAGGGAUAUAAUAAUUAUUUUUUAAAGUUGAUAGCCCUCAGUGGCUAUAAACAUUCAUUAUACAUAAGUGCAAUACAUUAGAUGCCUUUCCAGAACACAGAGUUGUAUCUAGACCCAACUGUCUGCGAGUGGCAUUGCAGAUUGGAAACAAGCAACAAGCAAUAACUCACUUCACUGAUACAGAAAAUACAUACUUUAAUCUUGUUAAUUUUUUUUAUAUGAAUUCAAGGAGAGGUUAUAGAAAUAAAGCCAAUAAGGACAAAAAAUGAAGGAAACUGGCAAUAUUACUCCCAGUGACAAAAAUGAUUUUGUUUAACGCAAUAUGAGCUUACAAAUGAGAGUAUGAAGCUUUUAAAUAUUUUGCCAGAUGGCUAUUUCAUGGGGUUUCUAUAACCUAACAGCUAUUCGCCAGUACAAAAGUAUUUGAUGUGAAUGGAUGUGACGAUGUAGGAGUAAAAAAGAAUGGAAAGGGGAUCAGAUUCUCAUCUGCAAAGAGAUACACUUGGUGCAGGUCAGGAGAGUAAGGUAGCCAGUUACAGCUCCCUGAUUCUCAGGCUGCACUGGCUCUGACAGAAAUUAGAGCAACUUAGGGGCUGCUCUAACUUACAAUAGCUGGUCAUGAUCCCUCCAAGACCAACUGAGUAGUGCCAGGGGGGGUGAAGUUUGGCUCUGCCUCCUCCCCACUUCUGUCAUACCAUCACCCCAGUGUGAGAUUGGUGAAGGAGUCAACUCUGCCAGCUUUAUGCUGGAUUAAAACUCAUUUCCAUGAUGGGAUUCUCAACUGGUCAGCUGUGGCCAGACUACCUGCUUUGCACUGCCAAAGGAAUGCGAAGGACACAGAACUUAGGCUGUAAACUCUUUGGGAUGGGGACUGUCUUUUUUUUUUUUUUGUUUGUCUGUGUUUGUGCCUCACCUGGCACAAGGGAGUCUUGAUCCACAAAUGGGGCUCCCUAGGCUAUAUGACAAUGCAAUUAAUAAAUAGGAAUAAUAGAACUGGACCUGAGAAUCUGGCCUAUUAUGUUACAAUACAUAGAUGUUAAAUUAUACAGUCAUAUGAACAAGAAAAUAUACUAUAUCUUCAUGCUGAGAUUUACAGUGUUGCACUAUCAUCAAUGAUAAAAAAAAAAUCUACUAUAGUCAGGAAUGACCAUGAAUG